UCGGACGGAGUUAUAUUGUAGCUUGCUAUGGUAUAACUUAGUGGCAGACGGGUGAGUAAUGUAUAGGAAUCUACCUAGUAGUACGGAAUAAUUGUUGGAAACGGCAACUAAUACCGUAUACGCCCUACGGGGGAAAAAUUUAUUGCUAUUAGAUGAGCCUAUAUUAGAUUAGCUAGUUGGUGGAGUAAUAGCCUACCAAGGCAAUNAUCUAUAGCUGAUCUGAGAGGAUGAUCAGCCACACUGGAACUGAGAUACGGUCCAGACUCCUACGGGAGGCAGCAGUGGGGAAUAUUGGACAAUGGGCGAAAGCCUGAUCCAGCCAUGCCGCAUGAGUGAAGAAGGCCUUUGGGUUGUAAAGCUCUUUUAGUGAGGAAGAUAAUGACGGUACUCACAGAAGAAGUCCUGGCUAACUCCGUGCCAGCAGCCGCGGUAAUACGGAGAGGGCUAGCGUUAUUCGGAAUUAUUGGGCGUAAAGGGCGCGUAGGCUGGUUAGUAAGUUAAAAGUGAAAUCCCGAGGCUUAACCUUGGAACUGCUUUUAAAACUGCUAACCUAGAGAUUGAAAGAGGAUAGAGGAAUUCCUAGUGUAGAGGUGAAAUUCGUAAAUAUUAGGAGGAACACCAGUGGCGAAGGCGUCUAUCUGGUUCAAAUCUGACGCUG
rnacentral:rRNA from 1 species